rnacentral:piRNA from 1 species
UAGAUGGCAUGGGUCUUGUUUUAGUC